rnacentral:lncRNA from 1 species
AAUAUUUAUUAGCAAGAUAAGUUAUAAAAAAAAAAUUAUAAAUAUUUAUUUUUUUAAUUUUUAAAAAUUUAUAUUUUACUCUCCCGACAUUUCAAAUUAUUGCAUUUAGACUCCAUUCAUCAGAGUUUAAUUACUAUUCCAUCUAUUUCUUAUAAUUUAUAUUGAAAUUCCUUUCAAAAUAUUAUUUAUUUUUUCUUAUAGAAGAAAUAUGGGCAAUUUUGUUAUUCUCUCCUCUUCAUUAACGGCAAUUUCGUUAUUCUAUCCUCUUCAUUAACACCAUUCUAUCCGAAAAUAUUUCUGAAAUUUUAAGAAACAAAAUAUAGCAUUUUGAAAGUCUCAGAAAAGAAAAGUGAAA